rnacentral:rRNA from 1 species
UACGGAGGGAGCUAGCGUUGUUCGGAAUUACUGGGCGUAAAGCGCGCGUAGGCGGCUUUGUAAGUUAGAGGUGAAAGCCCGGGGCUCAACCCCGGAACUGCCUUUAAGACUGCAUCGCUUGAAUCCGGGAGAGGUGAGUGGAAUUCCGAGUGUAGAGGUGAAAUUCGUAGAUAUUCGGAAGAACACCAGUGGCGAAGGCGGCUCACUGGACCGGCAUUGACGCUG